GAAUAUUGGACAAUGGGGGGAACCCUGAUCCAGCCAUGCCGCGUGUGUGAAGAAGGCCUUUUGGUUGUAAAGCACUUUAGGCGAGGAGGAGGCUACUCUAGUUAAUACCUAGAGCUGGUGGACGUGACUCGCAGAAUAAGGACCGGCUAACUCUGUGCCAGCGACCGCGGUAAUACAGUGGGUGCAAGCGUUAAUCGGAUUUACUGGGCGUAAAGCGCGCGUAGGUGGCCAAUUAAGUCAAAUGUGAAAUCCCCGAGCUUAACUUGGGAAUUGCAUUCGAUACUGGUUGGCUAGAGUAUGGGAGAGGAUGGUAGAAUUCCCGGUGUAGCGGUGAAAUGCGUAGAGAUCUGGAGGAAUACCGAUGGCGAAGGCAGCCAUCUGGCCUAAUACUGACACUGAGGUGCGAAAGCAUGGGGAGCAAAC
rnacentral:rRNA from 1 species